UACAAUCGCCCUCGGGCAAUUUUUGGCUCUGACCUCAAAUCAGGUAGGACUACCCGCUGAACUUAAGCAUAUCAAUAAGCGGAGGAAAAGAAACUAACAAGGAUUCCCUUAGUAGCGGCGAGCGAAGCGGGAAGAGCUCAAAUUUGAAAGCUGGCGUCCUUCGGGCGUCCGCAUUGUAAUCUAUAGAG
rnacentral:rRNA from 1 species